rnacentral:lncRNA from 1 species
UGGACCACUGCCAAAGCACAUGAUUGAGAAAACCAGGUAUGUUUUACUUGUCAUGUCGUCUGUAGUAGUGAAUACCACUGGAUUCGAUUAGUAACUCAUGCACAGAUACUUUGCUGUGUCGAGCUGGGGAGGGCAGGAUGGUAAUUGAACAUUUAACUGUUCUAGGAAACGCACAUACUUCCAUCACGAUCGAUUGGAUUGGGAUGAGCACAGUUCUGCUGGCAGAUAUGUUUCUCGGCGCUGUAAGCCUCUGAAGGAGUUUAUGCUGUCUCAGGAUGCCGAGCAUGAGCUUCUCUUUGACCUCAUUGGGAAAAUGUUGGAGUAUGAUCCAGCCAAAAGAAUCACUCUCAAAGAAGCCCUAAAGCAUCCUUUCUUUUACCCGCUUAAAAAGCAUACAUGAUUUAUAAAUAUGGUGCUCUGAAAGAAAUUUUACAGACUGUAUCAGUCUAGAUUUUAAUUUAUUUGUAUAGCUUUGUACACUGAUGUU